rnacentral:rRNA from 1 species
GUGGGGAAUAUUGGACAAUGGGCGAAAGCCUGAUCCAGCAAUGCCGCGUGAGUGAUGAAGGCCCUAGGGUUGUAAAGCUCUUUUACCCGGGAUGAUAAUGACAGUACCGGGAGAAUAAGCUCCGGCUAACUCCGUGCCAGCAGCCGCGGUAAUACGGAGGGAGCUAGCGUUGUUCGGAAUUACUGGGCGUAAAGCGCGCGUAGGCGGUUUUCCAAGUCAGGGGUGAAAGCCCGGGGCUCAACCCCGGAAUAGCCCUUGAAACUGGAAGACUAGAAUCUUGGAGAGGUCAGUGGAAUUCCGAGUGUAGAGGUGAAAUUCGUAGAUAUUCGGAAGAACACCAGUGGCGAAGGCGACUGACUGGACAAGUAUUGACGCUGAGGUGUGAAAGCGUGGGGAGCAAACAGGAUUAGAUACCCUAGUAGUCC